rnacentral:rRNA from 1 species
AUGCAGACUCUCUUCUGGAACAUCCACGGUUUCGGCCAGGAUGGCCGGCGCCACCAACUCAUCGAAUACAUGCACGAGGAGCGAAUUGACAUUGUAGCAAUCCAAGAGACCAUGCGAACUGACUUCACCCUAGCCAAGCUCGAGCACCUGAGCACUCACCUGUUUGCCUGGCAUUGGCUCCCUUCUAGUGCGAUCGCCGGGCACUCUGGUGGCAUCCUAUUAGGUGUCAAGGAUGCCACUUUUGAGGUUGGUAGCAUGGAUAGGGGCGAGUUCUUCGUAAGCAUGGAAAUCUUCGAGUGCGCCCUGAACUUCAAAUGGGAGAUCAUUGUAGUUUAUGGUCCCGCCGAUCACCGACGCUCGGCAUUCUUCCUCGAUGAGCUCAGGAGGAAGGUGUCAGCGGCCCGCCUCCCGGUCAUCAUCGGUAGUGACUUCAAUCUCCUCCGUUUUGCGGAGGGUAAGAAUAACGAUCUAGUGAACUUCCCACGCAUGCAGAUGUUUAACGACUGCAUCGCUGACCUCGGUCUGCGGGAAUUAGAUGGGAUUGGUGCCAGGUUCACCUGGACCAACCGCCAGGCUUACCCGACUCGAUCCGUGUUGGAUAGGGUCUUGGUCACUCCUGAGUGGGAGCUGAGGUGCCCUCUUCCCUCUCUCCGCGCCAUCACGCUUAUUGGCUCAGACCACGUUCCUCUGCUUCUUUCGUCUCAGGAUGAACGCCCCCCCUCUGCCCCUAGAUUCCGCUUCAAGACCUUCUGGCUUAACCAGAACGGAUUUGCUGAGGCCGUGCGCGACCGCUAG